rnacentral:rRNA from 2 species
UGAACGUGAGAGUUUGAUUCUGGCUCAGAGCGAACGCUGGCGGCAUGCUUAACACAUGCAAGUCGCACGAACCUUUCGGGGUUAGUGGCGGACGGGUGAGUAACGCGUAGGAACCUAUCCUGAGGUGGGGGAUAACACUGGGAAACUGGUGCUAAUACCGCAUGAUACCUGAGGGUCAAAGGCUUUUGUUGCCUUAGGAGGGGCCUGCGUUUGAUUAGCUAGUUGGUU